rnacentral:rRNA from 1 species
UACAGAGGUCUCAAGCGCUGUUCGGAUUCAUUGGGCGUAAAGGGUGCGUAGGCGGCGCGGUAAGUCGGGUGUGAAAUCUCGGAGCUUAACUUCGAAACUGCAUUCGAUACUGCCGUGCUUGAGGACUGGAGAGGAGACUGGAAUUUACGGUGUAGCGGUGAAAUGCGUAGAUAUCGUAAGGAAGACCAGUGGCGAAGGCGGGUCUCUGGGCCUUACCUGACGCUGAGGAGCGAAAGCGUGGGGAGCGAACAGG